rnacentral:misc_RNA from 1 species
UUUCCGUAGGUGAACCUGCGGAAGGAUCAUUAUUGAGCCCUGCCCUCACGGGUAGCCUUCCAACCCUGUGUAUUUAUACUAUUUUUGCUUCGGCAGGCCGUCUAGGUUUCGGCCUGGCUAUGGGCUUCGGCUCGUAAGUGCCUGCCAGAAGACAUUCAAACUCUGUAAUCAAUGUCGUCUUAGUAAAAAUUUAAUAAGUUAAAACUUUCAACAACGGAUCUCUUGGUUCUGGCAUCGAUGAAGAACGCAGC